rnacentral:rRNA from 1 species
UGGGGAAUAUUGCGCAAUGGGCGAAAGCCUGACGCAGCAACGCCGCGUGAGUGAUGAAGGCCUUCGGGUCGUAAAGCUCUGUCGGAGGGAACGAAUGCUCUUGAGGUUAACAGCCUCGGGAGGUGACGGUACCCUCAAAGGAAGCACCGGCUAACUCUGUGCCAGCAGCCGCGGUAAUACAGAGGGUGCAAGCGUUGUUCGGAAUCAUUGGGCGUAAAGGGCGUGUAGGCGGUAUGUUAAGUCGGUCGUGAAAUCCCUCGGCUCAACCGAGGAACGUCGAUCGAUACUACCGUUCUUGAGGAUUGCAGAGGAGACUGGAAUUCCCGGUGUAGCGGUGAAAUGUGUAGAGAUCGGGAGGAACACCGGUGGCGAAGGCGGGUCUCUGGGCAAUUCCUGACGCUGAGGCGCGAAAGCGUGGGGAGCAAACGGGAUUAGAUACCCACGUAGUCCCUGAGCGGGCUGGCAAGGCGCAU